GUAGUAAUACAAGGCAGACGGCUCAGUAACACGUAGUCAAUCUAACCUAUGGACGAGGAUAACCUCGGGAAACUGAUAAUAAUACUCGAUAGAUCAUUAUGCCUGGAACGGUUUAUGGUUCAAAUGAAUUUCGCCAUAGGAUGGGACUGCGGUCUAUCAGCUUGUUGGUGAGGUAAUGGCCCACCAAGGCUAUAACAGAUACGGGCUCUGAGAGGAGAAGCCCGGAGAAGGGUACUGAGACACGGACCCAGGCCCUAUGGGGCGCAGCAGGCGAGAAAACUUUGCAAUGUGCGAAAGCACGACAAGGUUAAUCCGAGUGAUUCCUGCUAAAGGAAUCUUUUGUUAGUCAUAAUACCACUGAUGAAUAAGGGGUGGGCAAGUUCUGGUGUCAGCCGCCGCGGUAAAACCAGCACCUCAAGUGGUCAGGAGGAUUAUUGGGCCUAAAGCAUCCGUAGCCGGCUUUGUAAGUUUUCGGUUAAAUCUAUAUGCUCAACAUAUAGGCUGCCGGGAAUACUGCAAAGCUAGGGAAUGGGAGAGGUAGACGGUACUCCGUAGGAAGGGGUAAAAUCCUUUGAUCUAUGGAUGACCACCUGUGGCGAAGGCGGUCUACCAGAACACGUCCGACGGUGAGGGAUGAAAGCUGGGGGAGCAAACCGGAUUAGAUACCCGGGUAGUCCUAGCUGUAAACUAUGCAAACUCAGUGAUGCAUUGGCUUGUGGCCAGUGCAGUGCCGCAGGGAGGCCGUUAAGUUUGCCGCCUGGGAAGUACGUACGCAAGUAUGAAACUUAAAGGAAUUGGCGGGGGAGCACCACAAGGGGUGAAGCCUGCGGUUCAAUUGGAGUCAACGCCAGAAAUCUUACCCGGAGAGACAGCAGAAUGAAGGUCAAGUUGAAGACUUUACCAGACAAGCUGAGAAGUGGUGCAUGGCCGUCGCCAGCUCGUGCCGUGAGAUGUCCUGUUAAGUCAGGUAACGAGCGAGAUCCUUGCCUCUAGUUGCCACCAUUACUCUCAGGAGUAGUGGGGCGAAUUAGCGGGACUGCCGUAGUUAAUACGGAGGAAGGAGAGGGCCACGGCAGGUCAGUAUGCCCUGAAACUCUGGGGCCACACGCGGGCUGCAAUGGUAGUGACAAUGGGUUCCGAAUCCGAAAGGAGGAGGU
rnacentral:rRNA from 1 species